ensembl:lncRNA
UUUUUUUUUUUUUAUGAGCCUGUAAACAUAUAAAAGAGCAUUACUUAUUCCUUCAAGCAGGGAACUUCAGCUCCUGCAAUGUUCAUUUUUCACAAACAAUUAGCAAAAUGAAUGAGAUUGAAGACACAUUUAGAAUUCCUCAGGAUAUUAAACGUCACGCCCAGAAAAAGUUACCAGAUUCAUGCUAACUGCACAAUGCUUUUCCUUUUUGGGAAAUUCAUGCUGAGCAGAACGGCAUACAGCCAGCAAAAAGUCACACUACCACAUCUCUUACAGCCCUAAGGUCUAGGUGAGGAAUAUCAAAAAAUAGCACAGGCCCUGGAAUAAAAGCCCCAGCUGAAAGGAGGAGAAAGAGACAGAGGGGUUGGGCUUUACAGAGACUUUCCAAUAUCCUCAAAAUUGUGUACCAAGUCAGAACAAAGAAAAAUAUUCCUAGCCCCCUCACUAACUGAAAGAAAAAUAAUUUCAAACUCAAAUGCUCCCACUUCAGGGAAGAUUUAAAAUAGCACAUCUACCUCCUUAAGAGGUUGGGUUUAAUCUGAAUGUACUGGGUUUUAGUCUCCCUGGCAAUUUCUCAGCUAAAAUGUUAGUUCUUAUCUUGACAAUUCUUUUUGUUGAUGUGUAAAAUGGACUAGGAAUUCCACAGGGAGAUGGCAAGUCUCCUAGAAUAAGCUCACUUCAGAGUAAGCUCAGGGCUCUCAGUAUGCCUCCAUGUUAUGUUGCACUCAUCUGUUAUACCUUUGACUCCUUUUGAGUUCAACAGUCUUAUGAUUUGUAUCAAAAAGCUGAAUUUGACCCCUCCAUUCAUAAUCUGUAUCCAAAUCAGCCCGAGUUUCAGGUUUGGGUCUGUACAUUUUACACUAUAUGUAUGCAUUAAAUAGUCUGACUGGAUUCCUACCUGAUAGGAAUGAACAAUCUGUGUGCCUUGGUUUUCCUGUUGGAAACAUUAACCUCACUUUCCCACCCCAAUCUAUUUGAUGUCUUAACUUUCUUUUUAUGCAGAAGACAGAUCUCAUGAAAAUUAAUUCCCCAUAACCGCUAAGGAUUGGAGGUUGUAGAUUUGCUAAAUGAAUUCACAUAUUAUAACUCAGGUUUUCUCUUUAAAGCAGCUUUAUAGUGUUUCUUCUUUAAGAAUAGAUAAGCCCAGUGAGGCUGACAUGUUUUUAAGUACAGGCAAAAAUCACAGGGCCUGCAUGCCUGUGUGUGUGCCUCAAGCUCACUGGUAGACUAAUGCUUUGAGAGAUGUUAGAAAAGCUGCUAAUUCUCCUGAAAGGAUCAAACCACUUUCAAUUAUUAUUGUUUGUACUGGGUUUUUUUCUAUAGUGCAGAAAUAGUGAAAAACUCCAUAUUUACAUUCUCUUAAGGGGUUGUGUCUGUCAAUCCUAUCAAUAUCCAGGAUAAAACAUAGGGAACAAUAGGGAAGAAGUGGCAAUGUCACUGUUUAAUACCAGAACUGCUAUUCUGAAAGUAAGAGAUUCUAAUGCUCUGGUUCCUUAUGUGUUGGCUUUUUUUUUUUUUUUUUUUUUUUUUGAAUAAUACACCAUAUAUUUCCAUCCAACAAAUCACAGUAAAAUUAAUAAGCGUAUAAUAUGUAGGAAUUAACACAGGACUUCGAUUUUUUUCAGUGCAUACUCAGGAGCUGCCAUGGCAGAAAGAUAAUACACAGUUGACUGAUUCCAAAUAGGGGGAAAAAAACCUCCCAGAAUUAAAGAACUUCUGUUUUAAAUUAAAACAAGGGCUAGGUUUCCAAGGGCAUGUGAUCAUUAAUUUAUAAAGGCUGUGGUUUGCUUAUCAGGUGACAUUAAUGGAAUCACUGACCUGUAUCAAAAGCUGUGGAAAGAACAAACUUAGAUUCUUUGAAACAAACAUAUUGGUUCCAUGCCUUGGCCACAGAGACUACUCUACUUUGUUUUUAGUUGAGAAGUGUCCAUACACCAAAUCCAUGGGGACAUUUCCAGGAAUCUCUGGCUACAAAUGAUGUUUCAAUCACUGCAAAUCUGGACCAAAAAACCUCCCAAAACAACCAAAACCAACCAAACAAAAAAGCCAGCAAAAAAAAAACAACAAAACAAACCUUUAAAAGCCCUUGAUAACACAAAUGACAAAACCUGUCCAUUCUUGAGUAGUAACACCACACAUAAAUGUUUUCCAGCUCUAAAAAGUGAUCACAUGGAACUCAGGAAUGACCCACACUUCUACCACCACCUGCCACUUUUGUGUGGAAGCAAUACCAUAUUUCUCCAUAGAGCAAACCUGGUAAAGUGUUAGUUAUAUCUGAUGGGUCUUUUUGCAUUACAAUUAAGGAAGACUCUCUAAAGUAUCUAAAAUUGAUAAAUACAAGGUCCACUCAGGAAAAGCAGAAAACAUUUUGUCUAGAUUAAAUAAUUUCUGGAUGGAAGGUUAAGAAUGACAGGUCCUAUUUUAAGAUGUGCUGUCCUCCAAAUCAGGUCACUACUAAAUACUGUAAAUUCAGCCUUGCACUUCACUCAGAUGAGCAGAAAAUGUACAAAAAACUCCACUCAUCCCUAGAACAAAAUACAAGCUGUAAGAUCUGCAAUCACUUCUAUGCAAAAACUGCCAUGUGCUAACAGGCAGACACUACUUAGACUAGUUAUUUGAAUAAUAGCUAUUAGAUCAGCAAGGACCAAAGGCAAUGAUUUUUUUUUCAGGAGACAUUCUUUGUGUUGUUAGUUAGAUUAACUUUAAACUCAUUGUAAGAAGCAUAAAAGAGAAAUCUGCUGUUAAAAUAUACCAAUUUGAAGUUUAUGAAGUGAAAAAUAUCUAUCCAAUGCUGUUGAUUAUUUGUCUAAAUUAUUCCCUUUUCAAUAACACCUUUGUUUUUGUUUACUCUUGAAUGGAAAGCCUAGUCAACUGGGAAAAUGCUACUUGAAAGUCUGCAGGCUUCGUUUGUUAAAACUGACUUUUGAUAUGAUUACAGUUUCUGAUUUUAUACAUUGAGAACAGCUUCAGAAACUGGAACCAUGAGAUUCAGUCUAAUUUAUAAAUUUUACAUAAUUGCCAAUGUAUUAAGUGGAGGAUAUACAAUCUUUCAAAAGCCAUCCUUCAACUAUAAGCUAGCUUUUGGAUAAAGAGUCCAGUCAAACAUCUUUUUUUUAAAUUUGUUUACCCCUGUGAAGAAUCAAAUGGAAAAUAUUAUAGAAAUACCACUCACAAUAAAAUCAAUGAGAUAUACCUGCUUAAUGUCUGUAAAGUCCAUUUAGUUCAUAGGCCUUCAAACAAAACCAAACCCUUUCUAACUCUGGAACUUACAAUUUUUUUCUUUUGCAAGAUCUUUGGAUACAAGAUAAGGAGAUAUACAGAAAUCUCAGCUGAAAAUAAUUUCAAACUAAAUAAUUCCUAAUGGUCAUUUAUAAAUAUCAGUUAGGUACUUCAAAAUAUCCUCAGUGAUUUUAUUCUAUUGGUUAACAUCACAUUUCUAUUACUAUAUUAUCUGAAUUACAGGGUUGUUAAAGAUUAACACUGAAACUGUCUUGGAAAACAAGUCUGACUUCAUAAAUGUUGCGUAAGGAUAGCUAAUCAUAAAAUAUCUCCAUUACUUAGUUUACAAACCUUUUAAACAAAUGCCUAAAUGUAAUCCAAGUUAAAUGCUCCUAUUACUUCAGGAACAGGAACCAGGUGCCCUUUCAUAUGUUAAAUUAAAUAUCAAUGUAUUUAUUUGAAUUACUGUUUAAGAUUUAAUACUCUCUUGUCAGUCAUAAGAACUACCAAAAAUUUCUGCCUCUCUAAAGCAUAAAUGCCACAUAUAUCUUCAUACAGAACUUUAAAGAAAGCCUUAGCACAAACAGAAAAUAUCUUAACAUUAGCAUCAUAAUAAACAUGCAGGAUUUUCUUUGUGGUGAGAUCUUAAAGGGGUAAAUUCCUGCAAUAAAUCAGAAGCAAAAUUACAUAACUCUUGAUCAUUGUCAGUUUUAUGGACAGGUAAUAGAGGAAUUUCCUGUGAGUUUUGCAGUGCAACCUUUUCAUACAGGGAGCUUCCAAUAUGCCUGAAUCAGAAAAAAGAGAAUGCAGUAAUCAAUGGAAAGCAUGAAGGAGGCAGGUGAGAGAUAAAAACAAAUAAAGAGUGGUUAUGAUGUGAAAAUAAAUUUUCCAUGGCUUUGCUGACUCUUGCUUGGAUGGCAGCUCUUAAAUGCAGGAAGCCUUACAGCUGCCAAGCAUCAUUAUCUGAUAUUUUAUUAUCACAUGAGAUACCACCCCUGACAUGACAAUGUGAUAUGAAUGGCAUGUCACAUCAGUCUGAGGUAAUCUUAAAGGGUGUCUCACUCCAUUUUGGUAGCAAAUACAAGAGCAGGUGACAAUGAAAUCAGGGAUAAGCUGGAGAUAUGCUAACACUGUUGCUUUCUUUCCAGGGUAUACAAACCAGUCCUAGGAUUUAUGUUUCUAUUUUCUAUAGCCAAAAGAAAAUGAGGACUCUUCAGCACUGAACCAGUUUUGUGGUCCUCUUUCAAUUUCUAUGAAAGAAGAGUCAUCAUGGAAAUGCAGAUAGAGAGUUAAUGAUUAUGAAAUUUCCUUGAACAAUUUCACUGGAGCAGGUAAGUGCCACAGAAAAACAGGAUGUGGAAAUCAAAUUAGAAACUGACUGAAAUGUAAAAA